rnacentral:lncRNA from 1 species
GGAUUCCAGCGAUGCUGUGGGUAACAAGAGCCCUCUGAGGUCCUCCCUGAGCCGAGGAGUCACGGGUUCUGCCUUCCCAGAAAAGCACCUUUGCUCCAGUGGGAGAAUGCCUUUGGACUGAUAAAGACUCGCCGUGUCCAGUUAUGGUAGGAAUAUUGCAAGGGGGUGAAGCUAUUUUUUGCCACAUGUCUAUCUCUCCAGCAGGCACAGUGACAUUACGUGGGAUCCAAAUAGCCCCAGCCGUAGAAGGUCAUGGAGCUGAAGGCUACAAAGAGCCAGAUUGGGGGUGGGGAGACUAUUUGCAUCAUCAGUCAGGGGUCCUAAGACCUUGAACUGUCACCCCUUCUUCAUGCUCCAGCCCCAUCCCACUCUCCACAAGACUCCUGUUGAACCAAUUUCCCCCUGGGCCCCAAGUCUGGUGGCAAGUGUUUAUUUUUAGCCUAUGAUUCCCUGAGAAUGAGGGUAGGCCCUUAUGGAGCAGAGGGAGGGAGGAGGGAGGAGGAAGGGAAACUUGAGGGCUUGGAGGGCCAGGGAGGACACAGCUCAGUCCAAGCCCAUUUUCAGCCCUGUGGCAGCCUGGGGCAGGGACAGGGCCAAGUCCUUUCCCUUCUCAGCCCACCCCUGGUUGGGCUUCUGUCCCUGUGUUCCCUUUUUCUUCUUCCCUGAGGGCCCUGGAGACCAUGGGCUUUCCAUUCCUCUUUCUAGCCUCCCUUGGCCUCUUGGUCCUUUGUGUUCUCCUUUUCAACCACAGUGGAUACAGAGGAGGACCCCUCAACUCCUUACUCUCUGUCCCUACAGAAACAUUCCCAGACCCAUUUCCGUGCGGCUACCUGGCACCAUUCUGGACACUUAGGAAAUACGGGCAGGCCGAAGGAUGGAUUUCACUGCUUCUCCUCGUAAGCCAAAGGCCUGCAGGAUGGACGAGCCAACAAGGGGAAGUUAUGCAGGUUUAGAAACUCUCUCAAAAUCUUUAGUCAUUGUCCCUAGUUGCUAGUUCCUUUCUCUUUUCUGAGAAGUUCUCUGGAGGCUUCAGGGCCUCAUCUUUGUCUCUGGGAUCCAGAGAGAUGCACGGCUUCCUCUUUAGUUCUUCCUGCACCUUCCCCUGACCUUCUCUCCAGCAUACCAAGCUCUGCCCCAGAGCCUGCCUGCGUGAGAAUCUCCUGAGCUGGCUCAAAUCCCGGCUCCCCCACACACCCAUGGUGUGGCCCAGGCAAGACACCCUUCUUCCUGCAAGCAAGUGAAAAUCUCUCUGGGGGAUGGUUGUGUCUAAAAUGUGUGGGUGAAAUGGCUGGCACAUAGUAGGUGCUUAAUAAUGGCCUGUCGUUGUUGUUGUUAAGCAUUCAAUAAAUGGC